CAAUCUUUGACAAAAGAAAAGAAAGACAUAAGAUGAAGAAAUGUCAGGAACGGUGAAAGGAAAUAGGAAAAAAACAACACAAGACAAGGAGUGUUGAAGGUAGAAGACAAAAUUCACAUGGAAGGAAAAGUGGUGGAAGUUAAGGGAGGAAACUAAAAGGAAAAUAAACCGGGGAAAGGAGAACGCAUAGGAGAGGGAGUAAAGAAAAAAUAUCAAAGUUAAGCGAGAAAACAACAUGAUAGGAAAGCAAACAGAAAACAGAAUAACAGAAAACUGUUAAAUAGGAAAAAUGAAAUAAGAAAGAAGGGAAAAUGUAUGUUAAAGAAAAUAGAGCAGGAAAGGAAAAGAAAGGAUAGGAAAGUGACAAACAUGAGGGGAUUUAUUUUACACGCUGGAGAUAUGAAGAUGACAGUAAUGCAGUGUUUUCCUGUGUGGAGUGCUGCCGGCCUGGUGGAGGGCCGGUGUCUGUGCUGUUUGCUGUGCAGGAUUUGUUUGUGUGGAGCUGUUUGAGAUGCUGCUGCGAGUUGUAUUCUUAGCUCGGUAAGAAUAGCUCCUCUGUGACUCAGAUUGUUCGGUGCAGCCCACAGAGCAACUUCUCAUGAGGACAGUAUGGAGUCUGUACGGUAAAACGCUACGGACUCUAGCUUUAAGGUCACCGGCACUGCAGCAGGACUCACAGUGUGACUCACGCAUGUCCUUAAGCUCAAAUACUCUUCCUGUUUGUCGUGCCUCUUUUUUCUUCUUGGCCUUUUUUUUUUUUUAAACUUUCCAUUGUUUUUGUUUUCUAUUGCUUCCUUUCCUUCCCCAUUUUCCACUGAGUUCCUUGUUUGCCUUUCACGUCUUUUCAUUUUGCUUCCCGUCUUUUCCUUUUCUUUCCUUUUUCUUCCCAUUUCCUUUCAAAUUUUGUUUUUCUUUCCUUUCCCCUUUACUUCCUUUCCACUUCCAUUGCCUUUCAUGUCAUUUCUUUCUUUUCUUAUUUUACCUUCUUUUCUGUUCUUCAGUCAGAGAGUUACCUGACCUACAGCUGACUGGAUUUGGGGAAGUAGGGUUUCUUUUUUUGUUUGUUGUUUUCCAGAUUUGUAAUCAGGAAAACAAAUAUUCCCAUAAAUGUUGGACUGAUUCUGUUACACAGUGUGGAGCAUCUCUCAGUUACUCAUCUGCUCCAUGUCUCCACUGGAUGUAAAUAAUGAUGAUUUUCCUGACACUAAUUCCUCCACCAUUUUUAUAAGAGUUUUUUUGUGUUUGCAUGAAUCAUACCGAUGCUGGAGACCACUGUGGCAUACAGUAAAUGUUAGUGUGUGUGCUGAAAAUGAGAAGAGCCAUUUCUGUAUAUAUGGAGACAGAGAGGCAGCCUGGGGCAGAGUGCAUGUUAGGUUAGUGUGGGUGGAUGCAGAGGGAGAUCCAGAGGAGAAAAAACACUACAGAAACAAAGAGAAAGAGAAGGAAACAGGGCAGAGGAGGAGGAGGUAGACAACCAAACACUGAGAGGUCUGCUAUUUGUGGAAAGAGGAGAAAUUGAGAUGCAGCAAUGGAAAAAAGAAAAGUUUGAGAGCGAUAGAUUUAGUUACAUCGCACAUGAAGCUCUGUUAGAGUCCUGGAAUAAUCUAUCUGCUGCUGCUUUUUCUUAUUGUUUAUGUUUGAUUGAGGUUCUUGGCCAUAAAGAACAUUCUGUUGACCCUGGAUAAUGUUCUCUAAUGAUGAAGCACAUCCUGAACUGUUACGGAUCCUUGGAUACAUCCAAACAUUAGCCUCUGGGGCUGAAAAAUAAAGGCCCCAGGCCUGCAGUUUCUCUAACGUCCACUAGAGACUCCAGCAGUGAGUCAGUCUCCACAGACUCCCACGAAG
ensembl:lncRNA